GUGCUCACUCUGGCAGCACAUGUACGAACAAGUGGAAUGAUGCAAACAUUAACAUGGCCCCUACGCAAAGAUGACACGCAAAUUCGUGGAGCACUCUGCAUUUUU